AGUUCUGUAGUGUUUUUGGGCCGCUACAAAAAGGAGAAUAGACGGAGGAUGGUUGUGAGACUUUUAGCCUGUAGUGUAUAUGUUUAUGGUAAUAGUCUAACUAGUUUUUUCAACACACUCUUGACUCUUCAACAUGAUUAUUCACUAUUGCAAUUAUGUUCGGUUUUCAAUUCUAAAAUUGAUCAUGUCUUUUGAAAACGAUUCUACCUGAAGCCAAAAUUUAUAGUUUUCAUGUAUAAUUCCAAAUUAUUUCUCCAUUCAUUGUUGGUUGAUAGUUACAAAAGUCCUUUUAUUCCUUCAUUGCUCUUAAUAAUUUAUAGUUGGUUGAUAGUUUGAUGGCUACAGAGCUAUUGAGUCUAGAGAAAGUGCAUUGUUUAUAUUGGCUAAGGGGAUUAUAGAAGGUCAGUAUAUAUUUAAUCUUAGAUGAGGUAAAGACCAAAAACACUCUGAAUAAUAGUACAAAUGUAUGAACCUGAGAAAACUGUUACUAAAGCUAAGUGGGAUGAGAAAGUUGAAACCUUUAAGAAAUGGGGUUUGUCUGAUGAACAUAUUCUUCAAGCAUUUAAGAAGCAGCCUUUUUGUAUGCUAUCAUCACCUCGUAAAAUGAAUGCAAUCGUGAAUUUUUGGGUUAAUCACUUAGGUUUGGAUUCUUUGGAUCUCGCUAGAGCUCCUGGAAUUUUGCAGUUGAACUUGAAUCUUGAGAAGAGGAUUAUUCCUAGAGGUUUAGUUGUCUAGUUUCUUAUCUCAAAAGGCCUUCGACGAAAGGAUGCAAGUAUAUACACACCAUUUGUUGUAUCUGAGAAGUUGUUUGUGGAAAAGUUUGUGAACCGUUUUGCGGAGCAUUCUUCUGAUCUGUUAAAGCUUUACGAGGAAAAAAUGAAUCUUGCAGAUAGCAGGAACGACCUUCAGAUGGUUGAUCAAAUUUUGGUUUUAUGUAACUGACUUGUUUUAUUCUGUUGAAAUAUUUGCCUUGUGAUGAUGUCCGUGUCAAUAGUUUGAUUAACGAUCAUGCUAGUUAGUUUUCAGCAAAUAUUAUUCCUUAUGAAUUAUGAAAUUUCCCUUUCCCGCAGAAUUUUGACAUAUGUUUUAAGAACAGUAGCUUAGGUAAACUCUCCUCACAUUGUUGAUCUAGCGUCUUCAAGUAGAAGUUUGUGAAAUGUUUGAAUGUGAAAAAAUUGAAUCUUACGAGUUACGAUUGCAAAUUACAGGGACGUGUUGUGUGUGAUUUUGGCCAAUUAUGUAUCAAAUUUUGUUGACUCAACAUUCUUAUCAUGUUUUCUCAUUCUUUUGAAAUGCUAGUCCUGUCUACAUCAGGACACUUCAAAUGGUCUUGUUUGUGGUGGUCACAUAUCAGUUUUGUAAGGAGGAUUUUUUUACAUCCCUAUUGUGUUUAAUACUUUAAUUUGAUAAUCUAUUGAGUAAAUUAUGCUUUCCUAGGAAAGACACUUACACCCUACUAGGAGACCAACCUUGUGAACUGAGCCAUUGACAUCACAUUUAUCCCUCCCAAUGAAAAUGGAAAUGCCGUCACACAGCCCUGUAAGCAUGAAAUAAGAAAAGCAUUGUGGGUUGCCUCCACAGCCCUGUCGUGUCUGGAGUCAAGUCUGCUUGAGAACAUCAUCACUCACCUGAAGUUGCAUUGUUCUUAAACAAGGUUUUGUUAAGGUGGAUUUAUAAAAUAUUAAGAUCCAUGAUAUGCUUGUUUUUGAGUAAACGAUGUCGAAACUUUGUGGAAAUCAAUUGUUUCAGCAGUUGCUUCUCAGAGAUCUUGUAAGAAUGUUUUUUCAAUGACUGCUGAUGUACACAACAUUCAGUAUUUAAAUAUAUUGUCCCUGGAAGGUAGAGGCUAUCUUUAAACUUAAGUCUGUGUUUGUUAAUGUUUGGUUUGGCGUUGAAUGGAUCACAUUGACCUCUACUAGGCAUCCCGGCUAAACAACACCAGGUAAUGGCGGUGUCGUAAUUUGGAAGUUGAAAGCAUUAAAUGCAAAUUUUAUUUUUCAGCAACUCUAUUGGACAACUUAAACCCUGCCUCUCCUGUCUUCAACUUGUUAUUCCUUCUUUGGCAUUUAUGAUCCAUCUGUUUGUGGAAAUGAUUUUUAUCUUCUUUCGCCAUUAGUGUUAAGUUGCCAAGUGCUCUUUCAAUUUGUUAUAAUGGUUAUGUGCCCAUCUUCUUAGAACAAUCUUAAUGGUGGCUCGUCUUUUCCUUUCACCUAGUACCAUUCUUUCAAUUUCCCUCAUAUGUUAUUUCACGGAAUGAUUACUCGAUCCUUUUCUCUUGUUGAUGACUAGUAGGUAAACAGACAUGGAUUAAAUAGUUAAAGUGCUAGUUUCCUUUCUAACGUUUUGCCCAAUUUUAUCAUUGAUACUCUUAGUACUUAGGGCUGCAAUUUAGGGAGUAACAUUCUUAUCUUGCAAUAUUGAUCAAUCUCAAAUGCUUUUGAAAUUGGGAGAUUAUUCUUUUGUUGAUAAUACAGACAUCUGAUAUAAUUUUUGUCUCAUUGAUUAUCUUGUAGAAACAUUUUCUGUGUAUUGAUUAUUUUACUGAUUGUCAGUGUCAACUUAAUGGGGUUAAUAUGGCCAAAUUGUGGUUAAUUUUACAUGAUGGUGUUAUAACUAUAUAGUGCAAUUGUAUGCUGAUACAACAAUAUUAAUGUUUGAGAUUAGGAUAUGUGGAGACUAAUCCCAAGAUAUGUAGUAAUAUGUAGUGGUCUGCUUCCCAACAUAUGCAGUAGUAUAGCUUUUCUAGAAAUGAAAUGUCACUCAAUAUAAGAAGUAACUACUAACUAUGACACACAUGGCUUCUAGGACAUGCACACAUUAACCUGGAGACAAAAUACUCAUUAACAAUCAAGUUUAUGUGAUGUGCAACCUUUUCUUCUAGGAUAUGCACACACUAUUGCUUUUGUGAAAGUAUAUGAAUGUAGGAAAUAUGGCUUAAGGAGACCUGUGCAAAGGGUUACCAGAUUUUGUUGUUUAUUUUCUUUUAGCUUCAUCCUCUGACAAUCGUUCUUAUGUUGCUUCUAUUGACAUUCUGUUAGCUCGGAGAGUCGUAUAAAUAUUUCGUAUAUCAUGAAUACUGGGGCUAGCAGGCUAGGAUCCCAAAUUCCUAAUUUCAAGCUCGGAGAGUCCUAUAAAUAUCUCUUAUGAAUUAAUAAAAUGAUAUGAUUUCAAUCUGAUCACAAUAGUCAGGACCAUUGAUCGUUUAGUCACUUGUCUAGUUUUACUUGCACUCUUGUUUUGCACAAUCUGAUCACAACAGUGCGGUGUUUCCCACUAUCAUUAUUAGAAUGUUUUGCAAAUUUCCUACUGUGUUCUGCUCUUUUCACUUGGGAAAGGCUAUGGAUGAAGUAAAAUAAACUGGCAUUGAUCAUUUUGAAAUCAAUGUUAAGUGCAGCAUUGCAUGCUAGCCAGAAGGAUUGCAGCUAGUUCAAUGGUCUCGUUUCAUUUGCUAAUUCGGAACUUAUUUUGAUUGUUGUAUUGUACACAUUCAUCUUUUACCUUUUUUAUCUGUUUCUUUCACUGCAUGCACAAAUUCUUUUCUUUGAAGAAUGAAGUGGUAGGAGGAUUCCUGUCACAAUGAGGUUCUCUGAGUGCCAUUAUAUCAUGUCAUAUAUACUCAGAAAUUAUGGUUUCAAAUUACAGUACUUGAAAUUUCUAAAAUCUUUGCUGUUUUAACUUUGUGAUGGAUUUGGUUACAUGGUUACUGCAUAAGUUUAAGCUCUACUGGUUAUUUUAUUUAAAGGCAAGAUAAGUGAUAAACAUUACUUCAUGCUUCUCUGAUGUAGAAUAACUGAAUACGCGGAAAUAAAUUUACAAUACGCGCCAGGGAAAUAAUAUAUAUGAUAUAAAGAAGCUGAACAAAACAAGUAACAACAAGUCGUUGUAGUAUAGUGGUAAGUAUUCCCGCCUGUCACGCGGGUGACCCGGGUUCGAUCCCCGGCAACGGCGAUUUUUUCAAUUUUAACAAUUUUAACAAUUUUAAUAAUAUAUAUGAUAUAAAGAAGUUGAAUAAAACUGUUUUCUAUGUUACCAAUUUAUAUGUAGCCUAGACCCCAUAUUAUGUCUGCAAUAUCUUAUGGUACAUGUUAUAUCAAAAAUUGAACUGAAAUCGAUAUGAAUCUUUUUGUGUGUAUAUUUGGGACAUGAAUCUCGUCUUUAAUCUCAAUUCGUUGUAAAGAAUCACAACCUGAACUUAGUGUAAUAAGCCACUUUUUUUUUUGCCAAUUUUGUUUAGCCAAUCACUUUUCUAUUUACAAUUUGAAUCUUUGAAUCAUUUUGAGAUUUUCUAAAGAUAUAUCAGGCCCAGCUUAUAGUUUUUCUAUUUCACUUGAUUUUACUUAAAAAUAUCAUAUUUUUAUUGAUAAUGUAUCAUACGAUUCAUAAUAAGAUUCGAUUCACGAUUUGAAAAAUAGGUCUUUGAAAUUCAUGGUUUGAUCUUUGAAUCUUGAUUUGAUAACUAUAAUCAACAUGAUUUUUUUAAUAAACCAAAUGGAGAAACCAAAUAUGUGUGGUAUAUUCUCAUAGAAUCCAUGUCUUUAUUAGAUACCUGACACAACAUCGAAAUGUAUUCGGUACAUAAUUGACUAUGUGAUCCUUCCUUUUCAGAUAUGAUGCACCUGCAGAGCAGUAGAUCAUGAGCAUACAAAGUCUAUCCGCAUCAGCUGUGUGAAUUGCAAGUUGCAACUGCACUUUCCUCAGUCCUAUGGCACUAAUGGCAGGUUCAACAUUUCUUAUUACUAGAAUUUCUUAUAUGUCAUCUCAAUGGCAAGAAGACAGAAUAACAAAUUCAGUUCAACAGAAAACAGAUAAAAGAAACUCACAUAAGAACAUAAUCGGUUGAUCAUAGAAUUUGACCAAUUGUACUUAUGAUUUCGACACAAAGUGGCUGCUGUGAUUUUCGAUUAUUCAAAACUAUACUCACAGGUUACAACUCGAGGUUAAAUAUCCUGAGCUUCUUGUCUCAAACCCCACGGUUUCUUCAUUCAAAACAUCCAAUCCAUGAUUCUCAAAGAUCCUGAACUUCUUGUCUCAAAUCCCAUCAAAUCAAUUCUACCAGAGUUUCAAUUUUUAGCUUCCAAAGGUGCUUCUCCUUCUGACAUUGUUGCCACUGUAACAAGAUGCCCUCGUUUUCUUCGUGUAAGUCUCGACAAACACAUUGUCCCUGCUUUUGGUUUGGUACGAAGUUUCUGUCCCUCUAAUAAAGAAGCUAUUGAUUCUAUAAUUGCUUGUCCUACUUCUAUUAGUGAUGUUAGAAUGAAACCAAAUGUGAAAUUUUUGAUUGAUUUUGGUCUCACCGGUUCAAAUAAUAUGUUCUCCUGAUUUUCUUAGGACUAGACCUUCUAUAAUAUGUUCUACUGAUUUGAAAAAUGUGGUUGAGGAGAUUAAGGGAUUAGGGUUUGACCCUUCAAAAGUUUUUUUAGUGUGGCUUUAUUGGCCUAAAGGGCUAUCACCAAAUCACAAUGGGAUGCUAAAGUUGAUGUCUUGAAGAGUUGGGGUUAUUCUGAAGAUGAAAUUUUUAAUGCAUUUAAGAGGCACCCUAAUUUUAUGCUACAGUCUUUGGAUAAACUCAAUGCGGUUAUGAGUUUUUGGGUCGAUGGGCUUGGUUGGGAUCCUUCGGUGCUAUUGGCUAAACCGGUACUUUUUGGGUUUAGUAUAGAGAAAAGGCUUAGUCCAAGGGCUUCAAUUGUCAAGUAUCUUCUAUCCAAAGGUUUGUUAAAGGAGGGUGCUUGUUUACGUACACCAUUUAACUUGAAUGACAAGGAUUUUCAGCGAAGGUAUGUGAAAUGUUUUGCGCUGGAUACAUCUAGGCUAUUAAAGGUAAAUAAGGGAGAAUGCUAGCAUUUUGUGCUUUGUUAAGUUAUGAAUAUACAUAUAUAUUGGCGUCACUGCAAAACUAGCCAUAUUAUGUUUCUUCAUGUAUUGUCAUUCUAGUUGCAGUUUUCUGACAUGUAGGUUACAGUUACAAUUCAAAUUUUGGAAACAGGCUCUCUGGUUGGGUGGAUUGUAGUUUGAUUGUAUUUUUUUCAUUUGCUCAUUUUUAACUUGGAAUCUUCUUCAGCUUAAGUUACAAUUCUGGCCUAUAUUUUAUAAAUAAAAUUGAUCCAAGAGAACCAUUAGUUUUGUGGUUAGAAAAUAUGAUUGUGAUUGUUUUAUUCAACAUGCAUUCUUUUUUGAAUCUGAAAGAUAUGUAUGAAAAGUGUAACAUAUCCGUAGGAAUUAUGUGAUGAGAACAAUGCUUGAACACCGGUGGGAUUGGAGGGCAAGAAAGAACGUAAACACAUAAAAAACUAAUUUCCCUUACAUCGGCAACUUAAUUAAGCUAAAGUAUUAGAAAUGCUUGUCUGGCCUAUGAGUAUCUCAUUUACUCUGUCUUUUAUCUUGCCAAGUUAUCGUUGUCUGUUGCUACUUGCUGCUACUAUAUGAAUUUGAAGAGAGUUUAUUCUUCUUACAUGACAACUGGUUUUUUGAUUUUUUGUGCGUGGAAGAACAGUAUAAUGCAUAUCAUGCUUUUUUCACGGAAUCUAUUGCCUGGAAAUUAUAUGGUUUGAACACAUGUGCAUACACAUAUUUGGCCAUAUAGCUUUUUGUUUGGUACUGAAUGUCGGGCUAUGAAGCUUGAAGAGCCUAUGAUGUUAAUAGCAGCGACGCUAUAGAGGUAUACUGGAGAGUGACCCCCUUCUCCGCUACGCCAGAGGGCCGCAAACCACUAUUUAGAGAAGCAGCCAUGGCGGCCGUGAAUAGCGGCAUGAUAGCAGUUCGGUUGCGUUUUUGGGCCGCUACAAAAAGGAGAAUAGACGGAGGAUGGUUGUGAAACUUUUAGCCUGAAGUGUAUAUGUUAUGGUGAUGGUCUAACUGUUUUCAACAGACUUUUGACUCUUCAANNNNNNNNNNNNNNNNNNNNNNNNNNNNNNNNNNNNNNNNNNNNNNNNNNNNNNNNNNNNNNNNNNNNNNNNNNNNNNNNNNNNNNNNNNNNNNNNNNNNNNAAAAAAAAGUGAUUUUUGAGUUUUUAUAGAGCAAAAAAAACAUAUUUAACCCAAUUAUUAUAAUUUAAUCCCAUAACAUGCUUCCUUUGGUCACUCUCUUCUUCUUCACUUGGAUUUUGAGUUAACCUAUCUAUCAUGCUAAAAUUCUUCACCACCACCGCACUUGUUCCCACCAAGAACAACAUUUUGCUCCUAUUCACAACACCAUCUUCAAAACAUCACUACCCAUCAAUUUUCAAAUUCUUCACCACUUCAACCACCACCAUCGACCCACAAUCUUUCACCGUCUCUUACCUCAUCAACAACAUCGGUUUCACCCCACAAACCGCUUCCAAAGCUUCCCAAUAUCUCUCUUUCUCCAACUCCCAAAAACCCGAUUCAGUUCUCACCUUUUUCACAACCCAUGGUUUCUCUAACUCUCAAAUACGAAGCAUCAUCAAAAGGGAACCCCAGUUACUCUCAUUCAAACCCAACACCAUUUUGUUACCAAAGUUUCAAUUUUUACUCUCCAAAGGUGUUUCUAACACUGAUCUUGUUCGUAUUGUUAAUUCUAACCCUAGAUUUCUUAGUAGAAGUUUACAGAAUCAUAUCAUUCCUACUUAUGAAUGUGCAAAAGGGUUUCUUCAAUCUGACAAAAAAAUUAUUGCUUGUGUUAAACGUUAUUGUUUUCUUUCUCAAUAUGAUUUGCCUAACAAGGUUAAAUUGUUGCUUGAUAAUGGAGUUUCUCAUUCAAAUAUUGCUAGAUUGUUUCAAUGGUGGCCUAGUAUAUUUGACUCAUCAGAUUUGUUAAACACUGUUGAGGAAUUGAAGCAGCUCGGUUUCGAUUCUAAAACUUCCACUUUUAGUAUAGCGUUUCUUGCUAAGAAAACUGUUACUAAAGCUAAGUGGGAUGAGAAAGUUGAAACCUUUAAGAAAUGGGGUUGGUCUGAUGAACAUAUUCUUCAAGCAUUUAAGAAGCAACCUUUUUGUAUGCUGUCAUCCCUUCGUAAAAUGAAUGCAAUCAUGAAUUUUUGGGUUAAUCACUUAGGUUUCAAUUCUUUGGACCUUGCUAGAUUUCCUGGAAUUUUGCAGUGCAGUCUUGAGAAGAGGAUUGUUCCUAGAGGUUUAGUUGUCCAGUUUCUUAUCUCAAAAGGCCUUCGACGAAAGGAUGCAAGUAUAUAUACACCAUUUGUUGGAUCUGAGAAGUUGUUUGUGGAAAAGUUUGUGAACCGUUUUGUGGAGCAUUCUUCUGAUCUGUUAAAGCUUUACGAGGGAAAAAUGAAUCUUGCAGAUAGCAGGAACGACCUUCAGAUGGUUGAUCAAAUUUUGGUUUGAUGUAACUGACUUGUUUUAUUCUGUUGAAAUAUUUGCCUUGUGAUGAUGUCUGUGUCAAUAGUUUGAUUAAUGAUCAUGCUAGUUAGUUUUCAGCAAAUAUUAUUCCUUAUGAAUUAUGAAAUUUCCUUUUCCCACAGAAUUUUGACAUAUGUUUUAAGAACAGUAGCUUAGGUAAACUCUCCUCACAUUGUUGAUCUAGCUUCUUCAACUAAAAUUUUGUGAAAUGUUUGAAUGUGAAAAAAUUGAAUCUUACUAUUGCAAAUAACAGAUUGCAAAUAACAGGGACGUGUCGUGUGUGAUUUUGGCCAAUUAUGUAUCAAAUUUUGUUGACUCAACAUUCUUAGCAUGUUUUCUCAUUAUUUUGAAAUCCUAGUCUUGUCUACAUCAGGACACUUCAAAUGGUCUUGUUUGUGGUCACGUAUCAGUUUUGUAAGGAGGCUUUUUUUCAC
rnacentral:lncRNA from 1 species